rnacentral:misc_RNA from 1 species
GAUGAAGAACGUAGCGAAAUGCGAUACUUGGUGUGAAUUGCAGAAUCCCGUGAACCAUCGAGCCUUUGAACGCAAGUUGCGCCCGAAGCCAUCAGGUUGAGGGCACGUCUGCCUGGGCGUCACAUAUCGUUGCCCAAUGCCUAUUGCAGUGCAAUAGGAAUUUCUAGGGCGAAUGAUGGCUUCCCGUGAGCGUUGUUGCCUCGCGGUUGGUUGAAAAUCGAGUCCUUGGUAGGGUGUGCCAUGGUAGAUGGUGGUCGAGUUAGAACGAUACCGAUCAUGUGCAUGCUCCCCAAAAUAUGGCCUCUAUGACCCACACGCGUCUUUUGACGCUCAUGACGAGACCUCAGGUCAGGCGGGGCUACCCGCUGAAUUUAAGCAUAUCAAUAAGCGGAGGA